UAGUAAUGGCAGGUCAGCAUACUGCCGUGAAUACGUUCCCGGGCCUUGUACACACCGCCCGUCACACCAUGAGAGUUGGGAAUACCCGAAGCCUGUGAGCUAACUUUUAGAGGCAGCAGUCGAAGGUAGAAUCAAUGAUUGGGGUGAAGUCGUAACAAGGUAAC
rnacentral:rRNA from 1 species